GACGAACGCUGGCGGCGUGCUUAACACAUGCAAGUCGAACGGAAAGGCCCAAGCUUUGUUGGGUACUCGAGUGGCGAACGCGUGAGUAUCACGCGUGUGGUCUGCCCUGCACUUCGGGAGACACCUUGGGAACUGGGACUAUUACCGGAUAUGACAACAUUAUACACGGUGUUGUAGAAAGAAUUUCGGGGUGGGAUGAGCUCGCGGUCUAUCCGCUUGUUGUGGGGGUGAUGGCUUACCAAGGCGUCGCCGGGUAGCUGCUCCGUGAGAGUGUACGGCGACAUUGAGACUGAGAUGCGGCCCAGACACCGACGGGAGGGAGAAGGGGGAAAGACUGCCCAAUGAGCGCAAGCCUGAUGAAGCGAGGCCGCGGGGGGGAUGACGGCCUUCGUGGUGUAGACCCCUGUCGCUAGGGAAGAGGCGAUUUUGUGACGGUACCUGGAGAAGAAGCAACGGCUAACUACGUG
rnacentral:rRNA from 1 species